rnacentral:rRNA from 1 species
CCUACGGGAGGCAGCAGUAGGGAAUCUUCCACAAUGGACGAAAGUCUGAUGAAGCAACGCCGCGUGAGUGAAGAAGGGUUUCGGCUCGUAAAGCUCUGUUGGUAGUGAAGAAAGAUAGAGGUAGUAACUGGCCUUUAUUUGACGGUAAUUACUUAGAAAGUCACGGCUAACUACGUGCCAGCCGCCCCGGUAAUACGUAGGCGGCAAGCGUUGUCCGGAUUUAUUGGGCGUAAAGUGAGUGCAGGGGGUUCAAGAAGUUUGAUGUGAAAGCCUUCGGCUCAACCGGAGAAUUGCAUCAGAAACUGUUGAACUUGAGUGCAGAAGAGGAGAGUGGAACUCCAUGUGUAGCGGUGGAAUGCGUAGAUAUAUGGAAGAACACCAGUGGCGAAGGCGGCUCUCUGGUCUGCAACUGACGCUGAGGCUCGAAAGCAUGAGUAGCGAACAGGAUUAGAUACCCGGGUAGUC